rnacentral:rRNA from 1 species
GUGGGGAAUAUUGCACAAUGGGCGAAAGCCUGAUGCAGCAACGCCGCGUGAGGGACGACGGCCUUCGGGUUGUAAACCUCUUUUAGUAGGGAAGAAGCGAAAGUGACGGUACCUGCAGAAAAAGCACCGGCUAACUACGUGCCAGCAGCCGCGGUAAUACGUAGGGUGCAAGCGUUAUCCGGAAUUAUUGGGCGUAAAGAGCUCGUAGGCGGUCUGUCGCGUCUGCAGUGAACACUGGAGGCUCAACCUCCAGCCUGCAGUGGGUACGGGCAGACUAGAGUGCGGUAGGGGAGAUUGGAAUUCCUGGUGUAGCGGUGGAAUGCGCAGAUAUCAGGAGGAACACCGAUGGCGAAGGCAGAUCUCUGGGCCGUAACUGACGCUGAGGAGCGAAAGCGUGGGGAGCGAACAGGAUUAGAAACCCGGGUAGUCC